AAUCCCCCGGCAGCCUAUGUCUAUUGCAGCAUAACUAAGGGAGGAUUCAGGGUCACCUGGUCCAGCCCUAACUAUAUGCUUUAGCAAAAAGGAAAGUUUUAAGCCUAAUCUUAAAAGUAGAGAUAGUGUCUGUCUCCUGAAUCCAAACUGGAAGCUGGUUCCACAGAAGAGGGGCCUGAAAACUGAAGGCUCUCCCUCCCAUUCUACUUUUAAAUACUCUAGGAACAACAAGUAGGCCUGCAGAGCGAGAGCGAAGUGCUCUAAUAGGGUGAUAUGGUACUACAAGGUCAUUAAGAUAAGAUGGGGCCUGAUUAUUUAAGACCUUGUAUGUGAGGAGCAGGAUUUUGAAUUCAAUUCUGGAUUUAACAGGAAGCCAAUGAUGGGAAGCCAAAACAGGAGAAAUAUGCUCUCUCUUUCUAGUCCCUGUCAGUACUCUUGCUGCAGCAUUUUGGAUUAGCUGAAGGCUUUUCAGUGAGUUUUUUGGACAUCCUGAUAAUAAUGAAUUACAGUAGUCCAGCCUGGAAGUAAUAAAUGCAUGAACUAGUUUUUCAGCGUCACUCUGAGACAGGAUAUUUCUCAUUUUAGAGAUGUUGCGCAAAUGGAAGAACGCAGUCUUACAUAUUUGUUUAAUAUGUGCACUGAAGGACAUGUCCUGGUCAAAAAUGACUCCAAGGUUCCUCACAGCGUUACUGGAGGCCAAGGUAAUGCCAUCCAGAGUAAGAAUCUGGUUAGAUACCAUAUUUCUAGGCUUUUCAGGGCCGAGUACAAUAACCUCAGUUUUAUCUGAAUUAAGAAGCAGAAAGUUAGCGGCCAUCCAGGUCUUUAUGUCUUUAAGACAUUCCUGCAGUUUAACUCAUUGGUGUGUGUUAUCUGGCUUCAUGGACAGAUAGAGCUGGGUGUCAUCUGCAUAGCAGUGAAAAUGUAUGCUAUGUCUUCUAAUGAUGCUGCCUAAGGGAAGCAUGUAUAAUGUAAACAGAAUUGGUCCUAGCACUGAACCUUGUGGAACUCCAUAAUUAACCUCAGUGUGUGAAGAGGACUCUCCAUUUACAUGAACAAAUUGGAGUCUAUUAGAUAGAUAUGAUACAAACCACUGCAGUGCAGUACCUGUAAUACCUACAGCAUGUUCGAAUCGCUCUAAUAGGAUAUUAUGGUCGACAGUAUCGAAUGCUGCACUAAGGUCUAGCAGGACAAGCACAGAGAUGAGUCCACUCUCAGAGGCCAUAAGAAGAUCAUUUGUAACCUUCACUAAAGCUGUUUCUGUGCUGUGAUGAGCUCUGAAAUCUGACUGAAACUCUUCAAAUAAACCAUUCCUC
ensembl:lncRNA